AAAAGGAGGGGGCAAGUAUUCAAACAAUAAUCCUCACCUACAGAUGAACGUAUGUAGACGAGGAAUCACACUUAGCCUCAGUCGCAAAAAGGCGAGCAAAAGGACGGGGCAAGUAUUCAAAUAACAAUCCUCACCUACGGAUGAACGUAGGUAGAUGAGGAAUAACAUUUAGCCUCAGUCGCAGAAAAGCGAGCAAAAGGAGGGGGCAAGUAUUCAAGUAAUAAUCCUCACCCACGGAUGAACGUAGGUAGACGAGGAAGUACACUCAACCCCUAUCGCAGAAAGGCGGACAAAAGGAGGGGGUCGG
rnacentral:lncRNA from 1 species